rnacentral:rRNA from 1 species
UACGUAGGGUGCAAGCGUUAAUCGGAAUUAUUGGGCGUAAAGCGUGCGCAGGCGGUUUUGUAAGUUUGUCGUGAAAGCCCCGGGCUCAACCUGGGAAUUGCGAUGAAGACUGCAAGGCUUGAAUCUGGCAGAGGGGGGUAGAAUUCCACGUGUAGCAGUGAAAUGCGUAGAGAUGUGGAGGAACACCGAUGGCGAAGGCAGCCCCCUGGGCCGACACUGACGCUCAUGCACGAAAGCGUGGGGAGCAAACAGG